CCAUCGGGCAAGCGCCGCAGCCGACCGCCGCCCUCGUCUCUUCGGCGAUCCAGCAGCUGCCGCCGCCUUUCGUCUGGUACGCACUCCUCCUCCUCACGGACAGGGAAUGCAUGCAGGUUACUGCUGUCUCCAAAUCCACAUACUCUACUUAAUUUUCUUACUGAACCGGCCAAUUUCACUCAGCUAGCUGCUAACGGUUGUCCAACUAGCUCGAUCCCUGUCCGUGCUGCUCCGUGUCCUCUUUCAUUCGUCAGUUUCAGGUAUAUAUCCAUAUCACUCCUUGCAUUGUUACUUUCAUUAAUCAUUUACUAGGCAGUGCCGAUUGUUUGGAUGAUAUGAUGCUUUGGGUUUAUUAUUGCUCUUAUUAUAUUUACCACUAUCUACAGUAAAAAAAAAG
rnacentral:lncRNA from 1 species